CUUGGUCAUUUAGAGGAAGUAAAAGUCGUAACAAGGUCUCCGUUGGUGAACCAGCGGAGGGAUCAUUAUCGAGUUAUUCAACUCCCAAACCCUAUGUGAACUUACCACUUGUUGCUUCGGCGCGCGCUUCGGCGCCGCCGAGGACACUUAAACUCUUUGUUUUUAUAAGCAUUUCUGAGUGGCCGAAAGGCAAAAAUACAAAUGAAUCAAAACUUUCAACAACGGAUCUCUUGGUUCUGGCAUCGAUGAAGAACGCAGCGAAAUGCGAUAAGUAAUGUGAAUUGCAGAAUUCAGUGAAUCAUCGAAUCUUUGAACGCACAUUGCGCCCGCCAGCAUUCUGGCGGGCAUGCCUGUUCGAGCGUCAUUUCAACCCUCGAGCCCGACUCUUUUGAGGACGGCUCGGCGUUGGGGGACGGCAGACUCCCCCCGGCAUCUCGCCGGGGACGCCGCCCCCGAAAUCUAGUGGCGGCCCUCCGAGGCGACCUCUGCGUAGUAACUUGUUCUCGCACCGGAAAGCUCAGAGCGGCCACGCCGUAAAACCCCAACUUUUUUUAGGUUGACCUCGAAUCAGGUAGGACUACCCGCUGAACUUAAGCAUAUCAAUAAGCGGAGGA
rnacentral:rRNA from 1 species